rnacentral:rRNA from 1 species
AUUGAACGCUGGCGGCAGGCCUAACACAUGCAAGUCGAACGAGCGGCGGACGGGUGAGUAAUGUCUGGGGAACUGCCCGAUAGAGGGGGAUAACUACUGGAAACGGUAGCUAAUACCGCAUACCAUCUGAUGUACCCAUAUGGGAUUAGCUAGUAGGUGCGGUAAUGGCUCACCUAGGCGACGAUCCCUAGCUGGUCUGAGAGGAUGACCAGCCACACUGGGACUGAGACACGGCCCAGACUCCUACGGGAGGCAGCAGUGGGGAAUAUUGCACAAUGGGCGCAAGCCUGAUGCAGCCAUGCCGCGUGUAUGAAGAAGGCCUUAGGGUUGUAAAGUACUUUCAGUCGGGAGGCGUUACCGGCAGAAGAAGCACCGGCUAACUCCGUGCCAGCAGCCGCGGUAAUAC